AAAAUCUUUAGAGUCCCAAAUAUAUAUCAAAUAUAUCUUACAGCCUUCCUAAAACCUAUAUAUUUUAUAAAUAAAGUGAAAUGUAUUUUAACAUUACAUCUUAGGCAACAACAUAACUUUGCAUUACUAAGAGCGAUAAAACUCUAGCUCUGCUAGAACACUGACUGCUUGGGGAGAGCAAAUCAAAUCUGACAAAAUUUUGAUUGCAAUACAAAUACACAACAUUUGUUGAGAACCUGUUAUGAUUUCAUCACGGUUCUGGGCCUCUUAGGUGCCCAGACACUGUAAGUCAACCCUGAACCAUCAUUUUAGCCUCUUUCUGCUUUGCCAACUGUUACCCUUCCAAUUAUUUUUUAAAAUGUCUCUUAGACUAUAUCUUUGCC
rnacentral:lncRNA from 1 species